CCUGGGGAUGAGGGUAACCAAGCUGCAGACAAGCUGAGAUGCAGCUCUUCUGGGUGAGGCGGCUUCAUUGUUGGAUCUGGACAUGUUGCUCUCAGCUAUCUGACAAAUGUAAGUCAAGCUAAAGCACAAGAAAGGAAGACACACAGCGUCUCCUUAGAAUGAAAAAGUCCUUCCCAGACCUUGGUAAAAGAAACACCUAGCAUGGAGGCCAUUGGUGCGAGGGCUCAGCUGUCGUUUCUCUCUCAGAGGAAAGGACAACAGUGAUUGCACAGAAACGCACAGCCAUCCCCGGGGAGAAGAGAGAUUCUCUACCCGAAUGCAAGAAAGUAUGUUCCAAGAUGAACCAGAAAGCUGCGUGAAGAGUGAAGACGUUUAUGUUGAUAACUACGGUGAGGCAACUGUGUUAGGAAGAAAUAUGAGUGCAAUUAGCAAGCCCUAACAUACAGAAGAAAAUGAAACACAGUUCCUCGUGGGCAAGGAGGUCAUUCUUGCAAGAGAAAUCAAGGAUGAAAACAUUUAGUUUCCUAUUUGUCGAGCUGUGGUCCAGGAGAUCUGCCCUUUCCAGAGGAGGACUCUCCAUGGUGAGGCCAUGGUGGGAAGAGGAUACCGAACUGCAGAAGUGGAAGACAGCUAGACACCGUCUACGAAAGGGGCUGCUCUAGGAGCCAUUGGAGCUUUUAGAAGGGAGAAGAGCCACCAGAAUCCUGCUUUUAGAAACCUAAAGACUAAAGUUUCUAAUUUUACUGGGGAUGGAGCUCAGCGGUUGGGUGCUUGUGAAACAUGCAGAAAAGUCUAGAUUUCUGUUGCCGGCACUGCAAAAACAAAACAAAACUUAGAAGGGUUAUAGCCUGCUGCAAAGGGGAAGUACAUGGGAACUACUUCUGAGGAGCAAAGAUAGCAAUCCUGACUGGAUCUAACACUCACAGAAUGCUGAAAGGGUAAUGGUUCAUUCUUGAGGCCUGACUAUGCAUUCAUACAUAUUGAGGUGACUCAAAUGUGAAAUGUGUGGCAUGACAGUCCAGCAACCCAAAGACCAGCUUGGACUUACAGGACACUGGCGGUCCUGCACAAUACAUAAUCUGAAAGCUGCAAGGGAAGCAGAGACAGGAAGGAGGCUCGGGGACCAUGUGCAGUUUAGGGAUCUGAUUAAAAAUGAGCGGUCAGGUAGCAAGGCAUGACGUAACCAAGACGGUUGCUGAACAGCUCAGCUGGCUAGAUGCAUAUGCUAUCUGCAAUAUUCAUACAGCAUUGACAUUUUUGUUUUAAGUAAAAUAUGAAGUUCCCUGGGCUCAAGGUCUUAAUGGGAUGGAACAGCAG